rnacentral:lncRNA from 1 species
UUAACAUAUCAAAUACUUGCUACCAUUCUGUGGUGCCUGAGAUCACCCUUUUUUUUUUGUUGGUGCUUGGUGUCUGAGAUCAUUCCUGGUCUUUGGUAAGGUUGGUGUGUUGUGCCUGAAUCAUCCCUGGUCUUUGGUAAGGUUGGUGUGUUGUGCCGGAAUCAUCCCUGGUCUUUGGAAAGGUUGGUGCUUGGUGCCUGAGAUCAUCCCUGGCUCUUUAGUUUGGUUGGUGCAUGGUGCCUGAAAACCUCUCAGGUCUUCGGUUGGGUUGGUGCUCUUUGCCCUAGUUCAUGCCUGUUCUUUGUUUUGGUUGGUGCUCGGUGCUGGAGAUCAUCCCUGGUCUUUGGUUGGAUUGGUGCUUGUGCCUGAGAACCUCUCAGGUCUUUGGUUGGGUUGUUGCUGUACAAUAUUUUGUUAUCAGUGUAGACAAUUUU